rnacentral:rRNA from 1 species
AGCGAACGCUGGCGGCAGGCCUAACACAUGCAAGUCGAACGAACCUUUCGGGGUUAGUGGCGGACGGGUGAGUAACACGUGGGAACGUGCCUUUAGGUUCGGAAUAACUCAGGGAAACUUGUGCUAAUACCGAAUGUGCUAUUCGGGGGCAAGAUUUAUCGCCUUUAGAGCGGCCCGCGUCUGAUUAGCUAGUUGGUUGAGGUAAUGGCUCACCAAGGCGACGAUCAGUAGCUGGUCUGAGAGGAUGAUCAGCCACAUUGGGACUGAGACACGGCCCAAACUCCUGCGGGAGGCAGCAGUGGGGAAUCUUGCGCAAUGGGCGAAAGCCUGACGCAGCCAGGCCGCGUGAAUGAUGAAGUUCUGAGGAUUGUAAAAUUCUUUCACCGGGGACGAUAAUGACGGUACCCAAAGAAGAAGCCCCGGCUAACUUCGUG